rnacentral:misc_RNA from 1 species
GAUGAAGAACGCAGCGAAAUGCGAUAAGUAGUGUGAAUUGCAGAUUUCAGUGAAUCAUCGAAUCUUUGAACGCACAUUGCGCCCGCCAGUAUUCUGGCGGGCAUGCCUGUUCGAGCGUCAUUUCAACCCUCAAGCCCCCGGGCUUGGUGUUGGGGAUCGGCGUGCCCUCGCGGCGCGCCGUCCCCUAAAUCUAGUGGCGGUCUCGCUGUAGCUUCCUCUGCGUAGUAGCAACACUCGCACUGGAUCGCAGCGCGGCCACGCCGUUAAACCCCCCACUUCUGAAAGUUUGACCUCGGAUCAGGUAGGAAUACCCGCUGAACUUAAGCAUAUCAAUAAGCGGAGGA